GCGGGCGUGGCGGAAUUUGGUAGACGCGCGUGGUUUAGGACCACGUGGCUAAGGCCGUGGGGGUUCGAGUCCCUUCGCCCGCACCA
rnacentral:tRNA from 1 species